rnacentral:rRNA from 1 species
UACGGGGGGGGGUAAGCGUUGUUCGGAAUUACUGGGCGUAAAGGGCUCGUAGGCGGCCAACUAAGUCAUACGUGAAAUCCCUCAGCUUAACUGGGGAACUGCGUGUGAUACUGGAUGGCUUGGAUUUGGGAGAGGGAUGCGGAAUUCCAGGUGUAGCGGUGAAAUGCGUAGAUAUCAGGAAGAACACCGGUGGCGAAGGCGGCUCUCUGGGCCUUACCUGACGCUGAGGAGCGAAAGCGUGGGUAGCGAACAGG